CCUACGGGGUGCAGCAGUGGGGAAUAUUGCACAAUGGGCGCAAGCCUGAUGCAGCCAUGCCGCGUGUGUGAAGAAGGCCUUCGGGUUGUAAAGCACUUUCAGCGGGGAGGAAGGCGGUGAGGUUAAUAACCUCAUCGAUUGACGUUACCCGCAGAAGAAGCACCGGCUAACUCCGUGCCAGCAGCCGCGGUAAUACGGAGGGUGCAAGCGUUAAUCGGAAUUACUGGGCGUAAAGCGCACGCAGGCGGUCUGUCAAGUCGGAUGUGAAAUCCCCGGGCUCAACCUGGGAACUGCAUUCGAAACUGGCAGGCUAGAGUCUUGUAGAGGGGGGUAGAAUUCCAGGUGUAGCGGUGAAAUGCGUAGAGAUCUGGAGGAAUACCGGUGGCGAAGGCGGCCCCCUGGACAAAGACUGACGCUCAGGUGCGAAAGCGUGGGGAGCGAGCAGGAUUAGAUACCCGAGUAGUC
rnacentral:rRNA from 1 species